rnacentral:rRNA from 1 species
AGAGUUUGAUCCUGGCUCAGAAUGAACGCUGGCGGCGUGCUUAACACAUGCAAGUCGUACGAGAACUCUUUAGCUUGCUAAAGAUAGUAAAGUGGCGCACGGGUGAGUAACGCGUGGGUAAUCUACCUCUGAAUUUGGGAUAACAUUGCGAAAGCGAUGCUAAUACCGGAUAAUAUCUUUUAAACUGCGGUUUUUAAGAUUAAAGUUGGUCUCUACAUGUAAGCUUAUGUUCGGAGAUGAGCCCGCGUACCAUUAGCUUGUUGGUAGGGUAAUGGCCUACCAAGGCAACGAUGGUUAGCUGGUCUGAGAGGAUGAUCAGCCACACUGGAACUGACACACGGUCCAGACUCCUACGGGAGGCAGCAGUGAGGAAUUUUGCGCAAUGGGGGAAACCCUGACGCAGCAACGCCGCGUGAGUGAUGAAGGCCUUAGGGUCGUAAAGCUCUGUCAAGUGGGAAGGACCUGUAUGGUAAUAAUACUAUCAUACACUGACGGUACCACUAAAGGAAGCACCGGCUAACUCCGUGCCAGCAGCCGCGGUAAUACGGGGGGUGCAAGCGUUAUUCGGAAUCAUUGGGCGUAAAGAGCGUGUAGGCGGUCUCGAAAGUCGGACGUGAAAUCCCAGGGCUCAACCCUGGAAUUGCGCUCGAUACUGCGAGACUAGAGUAUGGAAGGGGAGAGUGGAAUUCCCGGUGUAAGGGUGAAAUCUGUAGAUAUCGGGAGGAACACCAGUGGCGAAGGCGACUCUCUGGUCUAUUACUGACGCUGAGGCACGAAAGCUAGGGGAGCGAACGGGAUUAGAUACCCCGGUAGUCCUAGCCGUAAACGAUGUGCACUUGGUGUAGGUGGUUUUUCCGCCUGUGCCGGAGCUAACGCAUUAAGUGCACCGCCUGGGGAGUACGGCCGCAGGGCUGAAACUCAAAGGAAUUGACGGGGGCCCGCACAAGCGGUGGAGCAUGUGGUUCAAUUCGAGGCUACGCGAAGAACCUUACCAGGGCUUGACAUUUACCAAGUAGCGAACCGAAAGGGGAGCGACCCGUUAAAUCGGGAGGGUAAACAGGUGCUGCAUGGCUGUCGUCAGCUCGUGUCGUGAGAUGUCGGGUUAAGUCCCACAACGAGCGCAACCCUUGUCCUUAGUUGCUAACCCCUCACGGGGUGCACUCUAAGGAUACUGCCGCAGGUAAUGCGGAGGAAGGUGGGGAUGACGUCAAGUCCGCAUGGUCCUUAUGCCCUGGGCUACACACGUGCUACAAUGGCCUGUACAAAGGGCAGCGAUACCGUGAGGUGGAGCAAAUCCCAUAAAGCAGGCCCAAGUUCGGAUUGAAGGCUGCAACUCGCCUUCAUGAAGCUGGAAUCGCUAGUAAUCCUGGAUCAGCAAUGCCAGGGUGAAUACGUUCCCGGGCCUUGUACACACCGCCCGUCAAGUCAACCGAGUCGAAUGCAGCCGAAGCCGUUGCGCUAACCCCGCAAGGGGAGGCAGACGCUCAAGUUGUGUUUGGUAAGGGGGACUAAGUCGUAACAAGGUAACC